rnacentral:lncRNA from 1 species
UCUCACUUGAGUUGAGACUAUAGAUUAAAUAUGUGAAGAAAUAUAUUUUGGGAUAAAAUCAUCACUUACUUUAUUCAUUGUACUGCACGGUCUUAUAAUACAUGGUUCUCCCUUAACUCUAGGAGUUGUUACAAUUCAGAGCAUAUAAUUAGGAAAGAACAAUAACAGUAAAAAAUCUAAUCUAAUCACAACAAAUUAGCAAUCAAAAUUAAAUGCAAGAUUUCCACAUAUUUCCUAGAGUACACAGUGAAUCUUGAUCUUUAUUUUCCAACACUCCCCC